GCAGAAGUUAAUUAAGAUCGAAACAACGAUUUCGAUUAUUCCAACUUCCGCAUCUGAAAUUCAAGUGUUGCUUUCAGAAACAAUCUAAUGAAAAGAUGAGGUAAUGAAGAUGGUGGUUUGUGAAUUAUUUUGAUUGUUCUUUCUAGGUAAUGGAAAUGUUGGUGCUAGUGAUUCGUUGUAGUAUGGAGCGGUAUUCUAAAGAUGGUGGUAGUGGUGAUUUGUAGUAGUAUCGGGGAUGGUAAUGGAGACGUGGGGAUAGAG